AUGCCGAGAUGCCGAGUGUGGUUCCUGGGAAAGAAAGGAGCUAGAGGGGCCACGCUCUCUGCUCUGCACACUCACAGCCCCCCAACAGCUCAGCCCCUGCAAAACGAACACCGCACAUGGUUUUCACUUUUCGCGCCUUGUUUGGUGAAAGGGAAAAAUCCUCUUCCGUUAGUGAAAACAGGUCCAGUUCCAGGUCCACAUGGUACAGGGUACCUUUGCCCCCUUCCUGUCUCCGCCCUUCUCCCCAGCCGCACGUGGGUUUGGAAACGCAGUCCUGGUGGAGGACACAGGAUGAACAUGCGACCUGUGAGGAUUCAGGAGGCUGCUCGUCUCAUUCAAGGCACCAUUGAUUUGACAGCCCUUUCCCAAGUACGUUAACAUCCCCGAUUCUCCUCUUCUGCAGACGGUGAGAGCUCCUCCCCACUAAGCCUGACUCCCCAGGGAGCCCUGGUUGUGACAGAUGCGGUGGUCAGACAGGACUGUCUGCUCAGUCAAAAUUCAGAGCAGGACUGGGACUCCUUUUCAUUUCACAAGGUUAAAAAAAAUGGUUCUUCAUUCGUCCUCUGUGGGCCACUAGGGGAGAAUUUGGAAAAUUUAUACACACAGUCAAUAAGCUUGUCAUCAAAGAGGCACGGGGGCUCCCAGCUGGGAAGAACAAUUGGCAAAUUCUCCAUUCUGGGCUUUGUUUAUCCUCUCAUUGUGAUGCAUAAUCACUGCUUCCUUAAGAAGGUCUGUGAUUCUUAAUUAGAUUUGACUUUGCAAAUCUUGCAUUUUCCUGGAGAGAACAAGCAAACCAAGUGAAUGGUGGUGGCCUUGACCUGGCAACAGAUUGCCCCCAAUCUUGCUUCUGGCAAAAAGCACAGAGGUUGGAUGGCCUGAGCUGACGUGUUAUCACAGAAUCCCGGAAAGUGAGGCGCACAGGGACUCACUCUCAUCCACUCUCAGCAUCCCAGCCCGCCCAGCUUCUUCUCCCUUCUGGGUACGUGUCUCUGCUGGGGAUGGGGCGCCCAUUCCGCUCCAGAAAGACCACGAUCCCACGGGGCAACUGCAGCUGCCAGAGACUACUGUCUUUUGCUCAAAAAUUGGUGCUACUGCCAGCCCCACCCCGUCCUUCCCCUCCCCUUUGAAGGGGCACGUGGGCACGUCUGCCACACACCCUUCAUUUUUUUUUUUUUUUUUGUCUUUUUGCUAUUUCUUUGGGCUGCUCCCGCAGCAUAUGGAGGUUCCCAGGCUAGGGGUUGAAUCGGAGCUGUAGCCACCAGCCUACGCCAGAGCCACAGCAACGUGGGAUCCGAGCCGCGUCUGCAACCUACACCACAGCUCACGGCAAUGCCUGAUCCUUAACCCACUGAGCAAGGGCAGGGACCGAACCCGCAAC
rnacentral:lncRNA from 1 species